UUGUAGUCGCAAAACUCGAAAAGGAAGUCGACGGGCGUGUCGCUGCUGCUUACCACCGCCUGCUCGUUUCCUACCAUCCAGUAUUUACCAGUGGAGUCUGCAGAAAAAGAUACAGGAUGAGAGUUCUCCUAUUCCAAGAGCUGCAGGCACUAAUAUUACUGCAUUUGCAAAUCUUUGUAUCAGCACAAACUGUUUGCUUAACAAAAAUCCUACUUUGCAACGACAAGUGUACUGCUGUCGCUCCAGUAUGCACGCACAGACCUUGCAGGCUGUAGGCGCCAUCUCUGAACUCCAGUGUGAAGUAGUCGUAGGAGGAGCGGUUGGAGUCCAGCGUGCCCGUCAC